rnacentral:RNase_P_RNA from 1 species
UAAGGCAAAUGCUGCAUAGUUUUAUGUAGAGGAAAGUCCAUGCUUGCACAGUGCUGUGAUGCCUGUAGUGUUCGUGCUAGGGGAAAAAAUAACCCUAGGUAGUUUUUACUAACGGCUUUGAAAUAAUCAAGACCUGAUUAAAGUAGAUAUAAAAGUGCCAUAGAGACGAGUUUUCUUGGGAACGAGAAAAGUGGAACGUGGUAAACCCCGCGAGCAAGAAACCCAAAUUUUGGUAGGGGAACUCUCAUAAGAGAAUAAGAAUUAAGUGAGGGAUGCGUUUACGCAUAGAUAAAUAUUUGCCACCUUUUUAGGUACAGAACAUGGCUUAUU